rnacentral:tRNA from 1 species
GCCCUGAUGUUGUAACGGCAGCAUUCUGACCUUGUGAAUUCAGAGGUGCCGGUUCGAUCCCGGCUCAGGGCUCCA